rnacentral:rRNA from 1 species
GGGUUACAAGUUCCCCCGGAGGGAAAGUUGCAAAGCACUUUGAAGAGAGAGUUAAAGAGGACGUGAAACCGGUGAGAUGGAAACGGAUAGAGCUAGCGUAUCUGGCUUGCAUUCAACUAUUCGGCUGCUGUCUUCAUGGUCGCUGCCUCCAGAUUGGGGUAGUUGCUUUGAGUGGCGGUAGUCUGGUGGUGCAUUUGCAAGUGGUGUGCGCCGAGACGCUCGGGGCAGCGGCAUGAGCUCGGUUUUGAGGCCAGCCUGCAAAGGUCUGGUACCCGAUCCGGGGGAGUGUUGUUUGUUCUGGGUGUGCCUGUCUUGGCAUGGCUUACGGGCUCGGGUGGGUGUCGAGCUGGUAGCCGGUAACGGUCGCAUGCGACACGUGCUGGUGGUCAGUUCGGUCCUAUUCGAGCUCUCAUGCUUACUCUCGGUGUAAAAGCUGGUCAUCUAUCCGACCCGUCUUGAAACACGGACCAAGGAGUUUAUCGUGUACGCGAGUCAUUGGGCGUUUAAAACCCAAAGGCGAAAUGAAAGUGAAGGUAUCCAUUAGGAGCUGACGUGCGAUCCUGUGCACCACGGUGUAUGGGCGCAGCAUGGCCCCAUCCUGACUGCUUGCAGUGGGGUGGAGGUAGAGCGUACGCGGUGAGACCCGAAAGAUGGUGAACUAUUCCUGAGCAGGAUGAAGCCAGAGGAAACUCUGGUGGAAGUCCGAAGCGAUUCUGACGUGCAAAUCGAUCGUCUGACUUGGGUAUAGGGGCGAAAGACUAAUCGAACCAUCUAGUAGCUGGUUUCCCUUUCCCAAACAGUA